GGAACCUGCCCUCAGGAGGGGGAUAACGGUUGGAAACGGCCGCUAAUACCCCAUAUGCCGAGAGGUGAAAUGAAUUUCGCCUGAGGAUGGGCCCGCGUCUGAUUAGCUAGUUGGUGGGGUAAGAGCCUACCAAGGCGACGAUCAGUAGCUGGUCUGAGAGGAUGAUCAGCCAUACUGGGACUGAGACACGGCCCAGACUCCUACGGGAGGCAGCAGUGGGGAAUUUUCCGCAAUGGGCGAAAGCCUGACGGAGCAACGCCGCGUGAGGGAUGAAGGCCUCUGGGCUGUAAACCUCUUUUCUCAAGGAAGAAGACCUGACGGUACUUGAGGAAUAAGCCACGGCUAAUUCCGUGCCAGCAGCCGCGGUAAUACGGGAGUGGCAAGCGUUAUCCGGAAUUAUUGGGCGUAAAGCGUCCGCAGGUGGCCCUGUAAGUCUGUCGUUAAAGCGUGGAGCUUAACUCCAUUUAAGCGAUGGAAACUACAGGGCUAGAGUGUGGUAGGGGCAGAGGGAAUUCCCGGUGUAGCGGUGAAAUGCGUAGAUAUCGGGAAGAACACCAGUGGCGAAGGCGCUCUGCUGGGCCAUCACUGACACUCAUGGACGAAAGCUUGGGGAGCGAAAGGGAUUAGAUACCCCUGUAGUCCUGGCCGUAAACGAUGAACACUAGGUGUCGGGGGAAUCGACCCCCUCGGUGUCGUAGCCAACGCGUUAAGUGUUCCGCCUGGGGAGUACGCACGCGAGUGUGAAACUCAAAGGAAUUGACGGGGGCCCGCACAAGCGGUGGAGUAUGUGGUUUAAUUCGAUGCAACGCGAAGAACCUUACCAGGGUUUGACAUCCUGCGAAUCCCUUGGAAACGAGGGAGUGCCUUCGGGAGCGCAGAGACAGGUGGUGCAUGGCUGUCGUCAGCUCGUGUCGUGAGAUGUUGGGUUAAGUCCCGCAACGAGCGCAACCCACGUCGUUAGUUGCCAGCAUUCAGUUGGGCACUCUAGCGAGACCGCCGGUGAUAAACCGGAGGAAGGUGUGGAUGACGUCAAGUCAUCAUGCCCCUUACAUCCUGGGCUACACACGUACUACAAUGCUACGGACAAAGGGCAGCGAUCCCGCGAGGGCUAGCAAAUCCCAUAAACCGUGGCUCAGUUCAGAUCGUAGGCUGCAACUCGCCUACGUGAAGGAGGAAUCGCUAGUAAUCGCAGGUCAGCAUACUGCGGUGAAUACGUUCCCGGGCCUUGUACACACCGCCCGUCACACCAUGGAAGUUGGCCACGCCCGAAGUCGUUACUCCAACCCUUGUGGAGGAGGACGCCGAAGGUGGGGCUGAUGACUGGGGUGAAGUCC
rnacentral:rRNA from 1 species